rnacentral:misc_RNA from 1 species
UUUCCGUAGGUGAACCUGCGGAAGGAUCAUUAUUGGAUUUUGAAACUUCAGGCUGCUGCUGGCUCUCCUCGGAGGGCAUGUGCACGCUUGUUGUCCAUUAUUUCUCCCACUGUGCACAAAUUGUAGACCUUUCAGUAGGCCUAUGUUGUUUUUCACAAUCUCUGAAUGUAAUGGAAUGGUUUUGAAUCUUGGGAAAUACAAUACAACUUUCAGCAACGGAUCUCUUGGCUCUC